CAUAAUAGUUGAAUAAGGCCAUAAGGAAUCCAUGCAGGGCGUUCGUCCUCUACAUGACCCCAAAUUCCAAAAACAGAAGUCUAAAGUUCGAGAGCCUCUCUCUCUAAAAACUAGAGAGAGAAAACAGAUCUGCAACCAACACCCCUCCCCCUCCUCUCUUGCCCUGAUCUUGAUCCCUCCGGAUCCAGAUCGUUGGCUUGAGGGUUGGGGGCGGCUCUUCUUCAUUUUGUCUUCUUCAGUUGUCUUCUUCAACGCUGUGCAGGAGCUUUGGGUCAGGCUGGGGACGCUUGGAUCCUGGUCGGUUCGUCCCGCUGGUGUGGUGCGGAGGUGCGGCGCGGUUGAGCGGUGGCUGUGGCGGUGGCAGAAAGGCCAGUUCCCGGAUCGGUUUCUACCGCGGUGGUUGCACGGCUGCCUUGGGAUCGUGCUGCAGUUGUCGAACAGAUUCAAUCUGUGGUGGCGCGGUAAUGUGCUGCGGUGUGGCAUGACGCUGCGGUGGUGGAAUAGAUGGAAGCCAGUUCGGGUUCGACUAUGGUGGUUGCUCGGGCUGCGGUACUUUGGGUUCGUUCGAAUAGUGGUGGCUGAAGAUAGUCGGGUCGGGUCGUGGUCAUGAGUUGGGAAAUUGAGAAUGGGGUUGUAUUAUGUUAAAAAGAAUUCCUCAAAAGCUGUUUACACUUCUGAACUGCAAUCUGUAUGUAUCGCUGGGAGUAUCUCUUUUUGGUUUAGUUUAUGCUUUUCUCUUUGAUACUUACUGUGGUCAGUGGAGGGCUACAGAGAGGAUCAAGAAGAGUAGUACAUGGUGGAGAGAUGGAUUUGGCCUUGGCAACAGAGGGAUCAAGUGUAUAUGAUUGAAGGGUGCACAAGGUGCUGUUACUGCUAUGAUGUACUUUACCUUGUUACAACCCUGCACGCGCAUCCCAGCUAUCCUCUGCAGAGGUGGAGAACUGUGACUGCUUGCAAGAUCACAUGCUCAACUUAAGUUGCUAGUAGCUGCUGGCAUGUUUAAAUGUUAAAGUUUAUAACAGGGCAGAGUUAUACCAGUAGUUGCUUCAAAUAUAGUUAUUUGUUCAGAUUCAUGGCUCGUGCUUAGUAUCACUUGUUCAUAAUGACAAUGUACGUUUAACUAGGAAUUAGAUAAGAUU